AUUGAACGCUGGCGGCAGGCCUAACACAUGCAAGUCGAACGAGUGGCGGACGGGUGAGGAAUCCAUCGGCAUCUGCUCUGUCGUGGGGGAUAACGUAGGGAAACUUACGCUAAUACCGCAAACUACUGAAUGAGCCGAUGUGGGAUUAGCUAGUUGGUGGGGUAAAGGCACACCAAGGCGACGAUCCGUAGCUGGUCUGAGAGGAUGAUCAGCCACACUGGAACUGAGACACGGUCCAGACUCCUACGGGAGGCAGCAGUGGGGAAUAUUGGACAAUGGGCGCAAGCCUGAUCCAGCCAUGCCGCGUGUGUGAAGAAGGCCUUCGGGUUGUAAAGCCCUGUUGGUGGGGAAGCGGUACCCAAAGAAUAAGCACCGGCUAACUUCGUGCCAGCAGCCGCGGUAAUAC
rnacentral:rRNA from 1 species